GUGGGGAAUCUUCCACAAUGGACGAAAGUCUGAUGGAGCAACGCCGCGUGAGUGAAGAAGGGUUUCGGCUCGUAAAGCUCUGUUGUCGGGGACGAAUGUGCAGUAUUUGAAUAAAGUGCUGUAAUGACGGUACCUGACGAGGAAGCCACGGCUAACUACGUGCCAGCAGCCGCGGUAAUACGUAGGUGGCAAGCGUUGUCCGGAAUUAUUGGGCGUAAAGGGAGCGCAGGCGGGAAGGUAAGUCGGUCUUAAAAGUGCGGGGCUAAACCCCGUGAUGGGAUCGAAACUAUCUUUCUUGAGUGCAGGAGAGGAAAGUGGAAUUCCUAGUGUAGCGGUGAAAUGCGUAGAUAUUAGGAGGAACACCAGUGGCGAAGGCGACUUUCUGGACUGUAACUGACGCUGAGGCUCGAAAGCCAGGGGAGCGAACGGGAUUAGAAACCCGAGUAGUCC
rnacentral:rRNA from 1 species